rnacentral:misc_RNA from 1 species
GAUGAAGAACGUAGCGAAAUGCGAUAAGUAGUGUGAAUUGCAGAAUUCAGUGAAUCAUCGAAUCUUUGAACGCACAUUGCGCCCUUUGGUAUUCCUUAGGGCAUGCCUGCUCGAGCGUCAUUUAAACCUUCAAGCUCAGCUUGGUGAUGGGUGACUGUCCUCCCCUCGCGGGGGGACUCGCCUCAAAAACAUUGGCGGCCGGUACAUUGGCUUCGAGCGCAGCAGAAACGCGGUCUCGAGUCCGGUGGAUCGGCUCCCAUAAGUCUAUUCUUUUAUUUUGACCUCGGAUCAGGUAGGGAUACCCGCUGAACUUAAGCAUAUCAAUAAGCGGAGGA